UGACCUCAAAUGAUCCACCUGCCUCGGCCUCCCAAAGUGCUGGAAUUACAGGCAUGAGCCACCGCACCUGGGCUGCAAGGGGAUUUCUAAGGAGAAGGGGAGACGUGGCCACUGGCAACCACACCACCAUCAAGGUGGGGCCUCAUGAUCCACCUACGAGCAGGAGCAGGGCUCUGAGGCAGGGCACUGAGGCUGAAUAACACCUCUGUGUUGCAGGACAAUUUAUCAAAGGAAAAUGAGGGCAUCCAUUCAGUUUUCCUUGUCCCACCUUCAAAAAAGACCAGGAUUGUUGAAAUUAUUCCUCUAAAAUCUACAUUUUAAGAAGGAAGGUCAAGCUGGUGCUAAUGUAAUGUGUGCUAUAGCUAACAUAUUAUAGCUAACAUACCUGCUUUAGGUCAAGCUGGUGGUAGAGUUACAUUCUAUUUUUUACUUAUGGUAUGCUUUAUAGGAAAAUGGGACCCUUUGUAUGAUUAAUAUUGGUGAGACAAUGUCCAUUUUGUCAGAGACAUAAGGUAAAUUCUUAUCACAGUACACUGUUAUCAAGGUUAGAGGUUGUGAUAUCUUUGCUUUCUUGAUUUAUUAAGAAUUGUAUUUAUGAUUUAAUUAUUGCCAAGUCGAUGGUCAGGAAUGCUUCCUAACUUUGCCAUGGCGAUAUGGUUCUAGGGGAGAGGGAAGCCGAUUCAUGUUAUUUGUUCUGCUAAUUUAUAAACACACUGUCUGUUCUAGUUUCCUCUCACAAACCCUUUUGGAUCUGACAUCCAUGAAUUUAUUUAAGCAUUUAAAAAUCAUGACAUGUUUCCACCAUGAGCCAUCUACUUGCUAUGAGAAGGCAUGCUUUCUUUUAUUUAUCCUAAACGUGUAUUUUCUGAGCUUCCAGCAAAUUCUGCACCAUCCCCUUAGACUAGUCUGGAGUAGGACAUGCACAGUUCUUGACCACCACUAGCUGUGGCCAUCCUUGGCUAAUGCCACCUUUGUUUUGUGUAAAUGGCUUAUUUACUCUUCUCUGUUGGAUAUCAAAGCAACUUAACAGUGUAAGUAGCUUUUGCUAAAUGAAGACAUGAGUAAGCAGAGACUGUGGAAUAUACUGGUGCUACUUCAGUGGGAUUUUACAUGGUGAAACAAAGGGAGAAGUUGGUUCAGAAGUUUAGCCCUUGCUGCCUUGCCCAGUAUGUGAUUUUGUGCAAGAAGAUGAGCAAAACAAAGACAUGUUGCAGGCCGUGUUUUCUGGACGGUUGUUGAGUCAAGAAGGAUUCAGGUGAGAUACUGGGGCUCCUUAUUUGAGCCAGCAGAAGCAGCUUUUUAGUUCCCAAAUCAAAUGGCUGGUACAUAAAUGUAAGGCUCUUAUGCUUAUUUUGUGACCUGAAAGAUGGGGAGCAGGGAAGGAAGAACUAGGCGUGGUCUCAGAUGUUUGGGAUAAUUGGCAUCAUUUUCCUCCAUUAUCCAUGCUUCAUCUAGAAUGAGUUAAUUGAGCCUGAAGCCUUCCAAAUCUCCUGUUAAUUACCCUGAAGCAGGCAUGUUUGUCCCUUUCUUGGUCUAAAGCUGCAGGCAGAUAUCCGAGGUCUUUUAUCCUUGCCUAGCACCAAAGAGUGACCACAAAAUCUGCCUCAGGUUUCCGAAGGAGCCAGGUUCCACACUUGGCCCACCAGCCCCACUGCUCUGUGUGCGCCCAGCUCUCCACUUAACCACCUGAUCCUGUUGUGUGACUUAGAAGAACGUGACUUUUACAACUUGAAAGCUUAUUCCUGGACAGGAGUACUUGGUAGUGGAGAAUCAGAGGAACUAAGGACUUCAGCAUCACACCCAGUUUAAGCCUUUGCGCUUCAGCCAAGAAGACAGCAACGCUUGUCACGCUUGUCUCUCUGGCUUUUGGAUAAUAUACAUAACUGGUCCUUAUGGAGGGCUGACUUUGGCCAUGUGUGUACUCUUUUUAAUGAUCCCAACUGCCUGACAAUGUCUAUACACUGCAUGAAGGACCUCAUGCUCUAGGGAGGCAGGAUCCUUGCCUGGAGUUACACUUGGGGUGGCAGAAGUGGGACUCAUACUCAACCCUGACAUACCAUAGCACUGCUUGUUGAUUUGCAGACAUAUAAUUGAAUGUGCUGUUAAAGAAUGGUGAAAGUAGGAAUGUGUUUGCUCUAAAUUUCCCUGUGAACUUCCUUGUCUGCACCAGCUGGCUUGGUUUGAUCCUUUCCCCAGACUCUGAUGCUUCUGUAAAGACAGAGCACAUGCACAUGCUCAUGUCCUCUGGCCCAGGUAAGGCUUAUCCACAGAGAAGGGAGCAUUGUGCCCCCAGUGCCCGGGAGGUGGUAUAUUCCACAAAGAGGUGAGUGGAGUGGGGGCCUUGUUGUCAUUGAAUCUCAUGUAGUGGAGGGCCUUGGGGAGGUGACACAGGAAAAUGUGCUACUCUGUAUUGUCUUGGGAAGGGUUGAAUUUGAUUCUGUUGUUUCUGAGGAUGUGAGAAUAAAUCUUGAUGGCUUUCCUCUUUCUGCCUCUAAGCAUCCUUGUGUGUAUUGCUGGUUUUACCUGAUCAUUUUCACCAUCUUCCCCAUGGUUUUAGUGGUCAUUUUUCAUUUCUUCUCUUGUAAAUAAUCAGUUCAUGUUUUCUAGCACCAAUUCUAAGCCUAGAUUAGUAAUAAGAAAAGUUCCCUCUUUUUAAAAGAAGAUGUCUACUUUCUCUGCCCUCCUUAUUGCCCAGAAAACAGGCAUUGUGGAGACGUGGCCUUGAUUGUCCUUCUUCUUGUCUCUUCCACCAAUGUGGCUGACCUUUUUCUCCUCACUCUCCAUUAAUUAGCAGCAGUUUCCCUGUUCCUUGGCUCACAGUGGUACACCUGGGAGCCUUAGCACUCACUGAAAACCCCUUACUGCCUAACAAGAAUUGACCCAUGGUUGAAAACCCAUCUCAAGUGCUGCUGCCUCUAUGAAGCCCACCCUGAAUUACGUUCAACUGGACAUACUUCCUUAUUUAAACCCUUUGGCACUGAUAUUCUAUCUUUAAUCAUUAUUAUUAUUUUAGAACAUGUCACCUUCCCAUGUUUUCCAAGUCAUAAAAGUAGUACAUGUCCAUCACAGACAAAUGGGGAGUGCAGAAAAGCACAAAGAAUAAAACAGAGACAGCAGGGUUCAGGCUUCGAGUUGUGGUGCAAUUGGCCCACAUCCACCCCACCCUCUCUUCACGCAGCAGAUGACUGGGACAUAAAGAAGCUGAUGGGGCCACUGCCACCGAAUUUCCACCUGCAGCCCUUCUCGGGGGCCACCACCAUGCUCCUCAACAGCUGUCACUGACAGGACAGAGCUUGAGGAUCUUGAGGAGCUACUGACCCUGCAGAACCGCUCUGAGACCAGGGGGAGCUUUUCCAGUAGAAUGAAAGGAUUGCUUCUGCUUUAACCUCUGAUGCUUUAUCAAGGCCGAGCUGAGGGCUGCACUAUCGGGAGCUUGAUGAGGAAACUGAGGCACAGAGAGAUGAAGGAACUUGCCCAAGGUCACACAGCUGAGGAACCCAGGCACUCAGAUUCUGGGGCCUGCUCUCAUAACCACAAUGCUACAUCCCUGCCUCUAACAUCGGGACAACCAGGCCUUCCUCACAGGCAUUAUCGGGACUAUAAGAUAAGAUGCAUAAGGUUUUAUCUCCAGAGAGAAGGCAGCUAUGGUCCAAGGUCAAACACAGAGGCUACAACUAGAAACCUCUAGACCAAGUUUGGUCCAUGUGGUGUUCUCUAUAGAGUUUCUUUCUUUUUAAUUUGGAUUUUCAAUACUUUAAAAUUAAGAGCACACACAUAACAGUAUCCUUUUUCAGCUUCCUUAAACCAUAUCUGAACAUUUGGCCAAAGUAGAUCCCUGCUGGGGCAUGAAAUAAUCAGCUGAUGCCGUUUCCCUCGGUCCUCACCAUCCUCUCACGCCUUCCCCUCCUGAGGCUACCGUCAGAGGCCAUUUCUCAUCCUGCAUGCACUGUAGCAUUUCUGACACUAGGUACACUUCGCUCGCUAUCUGCCUGGCCUCUGUGGGCAUGAGGGUUUGUAGACAGAGCAAAACCAAGUAGUUUGUGGGGGUGCGUGCCUAUCAUUUCCAAAGGGAGCCACAGGUCGGUCAUUUGCUAUCUAUGAGAUUCAAAGCUCAGGGUCUUCUCAGAGAGUAAACUCACGAAGGUACGUAGGAAUAUCUUGCAGGCAUUUCUUUCCAGCAUGCCACAAACCAGUGGUCUCACAGGGCAUGAUGUUUUAGUGAGAGCUGGGGCUAAACAUAAUGUUUUCAGCUUUUUUUUCCUUGCAUUUUUUUUUUCUCAGCUCUGGUCUUCUUCUUGGCAUUUUUGACACAUACCACACGCUGGCCCAUCAUUUCCUUCUGGUUACCCAGGUGUUCCAAAAGAUCCCCCUCCAGUGAUACACUCCGUUCUCCAGGGCUCAGAUCUGAAAGUGUAGCUAUGUUACCUGGGAGAGAUGACAUGAACACACCAUUUUCCCAAGCAGGGCAACCAUCAAGGUUUACUCUGAUGGAUACCCUGACUGGUCAAUGGGCAGACAGGCCACCACCCCCUCCCCUCUGGACCCUACAUGGCAAAAGGCUUGGCAGACGUGACAAAGUGAAGAGUCUUGAGAUGGGGAGAUGAUCCUGCAUUGUCUGGAUGGGCUGGGUGUGGUCGUGACAGUUUUCAUAAGAGGGCUGCAGGACUACACUUUCUUCCUGAGAGGGUUCCUAACUUCUCUGAAGUCAAGUUGAGCGUCCACAUCUAAAGCCCCAGGAUGAGCCUCCUGGUGGAGGAGAGUGCUCCUGCCUCUCCUGCCUCUCUUUAUGGAUUGUAUGUCAAGGAGACACCCGCAAGGACUCUGGUGGCCUGGACAUACUUCUGGAAGACUGACUCUUCCAGACUGAUGAAACCAAAGCCCACAGCUAGCACCAACUUGCCAGCCAUGUGAGUGAAUCAUCGUGGAAAUGAUAUCUGCCAGCCCUGGCCAAAAUGCCCCAGCUGAUGCCACAUAAAGCAAAAAUUAGCAGUUGCCACCAAGCCCUGCCUAAAUUGCAAAAUCGUUGAGAUGUUUCCCAAAAUGCCUCACAAAUAUUCUGGGAUGUCACCUUUUGCAAUGGAUCUGCAGGUUCCAUCGUGCCCUAGCUUUUUGCCUGAGGGGAGGCUCUGGCCAUGGGUCCCUUUUCAGGUCAGCAAGAGUGCCGUGCAGAGCAGGAGCCCCAUCCAAUGCUCUACAGCUCUGGACUCCUGCCAAUCCUCCCUUGGCCAAGGCCUCCAGAAGUCAGAGAGCGAGGGAACAUAUGAACUAUCUAUCCUGGUCUACUGUCAAUCUCCUUCCACUGAAAUAUCAGCUCCACAAGGCUAGUGGUGUCAUGGAUUUGCUCACUGCUGUAGGUGCCUAGUGAAUAUUUGCUGGAAAUGGAAUACAUGGAUAGGCUUGGAGCUAACUAGAAAAAGCUUGAAAAGUUCUUUGGAAGUGGAAACCGUUUCAGAAGACCUGGAGUCUUUCUCAUCAUGGUAGUCUGCAGACCCAAUCAAUCUAUGAGAAACCCAGCAGUUCCACCUCACUGCUGCACACUGAUUCCAUUACCCAGGGCUUCUGGAGGUCUUCAUUCAUCAAGGCCUGUCUGCUCUCACUGAGUGCGCUACUUUACCCCAAUGUUAUCACAGACAACCAGGACUAUAUUAAACUUGUCAAAGUAAGAGUCUUUUAGAGGGAUGGAACAUCCUGAACUUUUUUUUCAAAUGGAGACAUUUUCCUGUUUCUUGAGUGUGUUAAGAGGGACAGGGGUCCCCCACCUUUAGUUUUUGGCCAUAACAGAAAAAAAAUUUUGAUAAAGAUCAGAUAUUAUUAUUACCAUUUAAAUAUUUACCUAUGAAAUUUAGUGAGUGGCAAUGAAACUUCUUGGCAUUUAAUUUUUUUGAUGUUCUGCCAUUGGGAACUUAUCUUUGCAACACUUUUUGUUAAGAGAUGUCAUGAUUCUGGGUUGGAGGAAGAUAGGAAUAUCUAAAAUGCUAUGUCAUGGUUCAAUUGUACAGAAAAAAAUAAGGUAAACAUGAAAAGAAAAUCCAUUUGACCAUGGUGUUUGUGGCUAUUUCCUUCUGGCAUCUCAAGGGUUGCGAUGUAAGGUACUUAAAUCAACAGCCAGUGGAUGACUUUUUCCUUCACACUCCAGAGUGAGUCUCUGCUCAGAAACUCUGACCACUCAAUCUGAAAUUCUCCUCGUCUGUUACUGUCUAAAUUCCUACCUUGCUUUAUUUUCCUUUGUGGUACUUAUCCCCACCUCAAGUUAUGUGUGUUCAUGUGUUUGCUGUCUGCCUCCCUACUAGAGUGUCAGCUCUACAGGGCAAAGAUAUCAGCUGUCUUCUUCAUUAUGCUGUAUCUCUAGUGGCUAGAACAGUGCCUGGCAGGUGGCAGCACUCAGUGAGUAACUGUUGAAUAAAUAAAUAAAUAAGUCAAUAAGUGGA
rnacentral:lncRNA from 1 species